rnacentral:rRNA from 1 species
UACGUAGGGCGCAAGCGUUGUCCGGAAUUAUUGGGCGUAAAGAGCUCGUAGGCGGCCAGUUGCGUCCGCUGUGAAAUCCCGGGGCUUAACCCCGGGCGUGCAGUGGAUACGGGCUGGCUGGAGGCAGGCAGGGGAGAACGGAAUUCCCGGUGUAGCGGUGAAAUGCGCAGAUAUCGGGAGGAACACCGGUGGCGAAGGCGGUUCUCUGGGCCUUACCUGACGCUCAGGUGCGAAAGCUAGGGGAGCGAACAGG